UGGACUGGCAACACUGGCCGGGUGACUUGUCAAAAAACAGCUGUGUAAUUUAAAAUUGAAAUAAAAUAGAAAAAUAGGCAAAAUAGCCCUUAAAAGUAAUUAAUAUAGUAGUAGUGGUCAUAAAUAUAGUGUACAAAUGUUUGUGGCGUCAUUGUAGAAGGAUAACUGAUAAGAAUCUUCAUCACACGGAGGCGGUCAGCUGUCAACCGCUCAAUUCAAAUUAAUUGGAUUUUAACGGGAAGUAUCGUUCUAUUAUAUUUGUGUCACACUUUACUGCAUUAGUUCCACAACUGCAGAUUGUAUUAUUUACAUUACAUAUCAGUUUUACGUCAAAAAGUCAGCCUUGUAACCUACCCUAACAUUGCAAUAAAAAUAAAAAGCGAGUAAAAACCAAAGAUAACUUUCUCCUGAUUGCUUAAACAAUUAAAUCAAUAUAUUAUCGGUAAAUACCUGACACCAUGUCCAUUAAGACACGAAAGGCUACUGUCAAAGACAUGGAGGUAAAACUGAAGGACACCCUGGAAGAGCUGAAAACAUCUAAGGAGCUCUGUGAUCAGCUGUUGAGGGAACGUGAUGAGAGCGAGGAAGAAAUACAGAACAUAAUUAAUAAAAACUCAGGAUUGAAGUCUCAACUUGCCGAGUUACACAUUCAAUAUAUGGAUAUUCUGGAUCAGCGGGAUAGGUUACAGGUUUUUGUAGGUUCUUUUAGUGAAUGUAGUGAUGCUCAUGAGAGGGCUUUGAGUCGCAUUACUGAACUGGAGACAAGCCUAAAUGAUGCUCACAAGUCGUUGACAUGCUUCAAGCAAAUUCAAGAACAACAAGAAAGUGACGACACUCAUCGCCUUUUUAAUGAGCUUGUUGCAUCAAAUUCACUAAAUAUGAGUCACAAAAAAAUAAAAAAAUACAUUAGAAUAAACAAAUUGAUUCAAAAAAUUAAGAGAGUGUGUCACAAACAAAAAUCUUCAUAUAAAUUAAAUAAUUUACUUAAAAGUAAGGUUAAUUUAAAACAACAGUUAAAUUUGUGCACUAAUCAACUUUUACAAAGUAGGCUAAUGUAUGACCAAGAUACACAGGUUCUGCAACAGGAGAUGCUUGAUCUGCAGCGUGAGUUAACAAAAUUACACACAAUUAUGAGGCAGCCAAAUAUCAAAUUAAGGCACAUAUUCUGGCUACCGAUGAGCUGCUCCAGUUAGGUAGUGAAAAUAUGGACCGUCUUGAUUCUCUUAAAAACAAAUAUAACAACUGUACUUGUUCUCAACCAACAGUACAAGCUGACCUACAGUUAACACCGCCUAGUACUAUGCAGUCAGCUGUGAACAGUGACACAACACCACCUCAUGUUACUGUUCAGUGCAAUAUUCCACCAUCAAGCAUUUCACAUAAACAUAGUUCAGGAAAUCAAAACUCAUCACAAAUAUUUUCUGAUAGAUUUGGUCUAGGUUUUGGUAAAUUAGUCUCUCAAUACUGUAAAAGUAAUAUAAUAAACAAUUGUUCACCCGGUGCCAGCUACAAUGAGAUUAUAGAAAGAAUUAAAUUGACUAAUCUUAAUACCACUUCAACUGCCAUUAUGCUAUUUGGAGAUAGUCUAGCAGUCAAAAAACAAAAUAUAAUAGAUUGUAUUGAAUUAAUGAUAAAAUUAAAUAAUGAAACAAAUUGCAAGUUUAUCAUCUGUGCCUUACCAUAUUCAAAAAAUUUUACUGAAGAACAAAAUCAGUACAUAUUUAAUUUAAAUCUAUUAAUGUACAAUACAACUAGGCAUUACAAUAAUAGAAUAAUGUACUUUGAUACAAAUAAAUUUAUAAAUAAUUUUGUAAUGACAAAUGAUACAAUGUAUCUAAGUUUUUAUUAUAAAAGACAAAUUGCUAUAUUGAUAGCAAAUAAUAUACAAAUUGACCCGGGUUCUACUACGGUAACCUCUUCUUUUAGUAGCAUUAGUACUUCUACUAAUACAACUAUUGAUACACCUGAUAGUUUAAACUACAUGGUGCGACAAAGGGUGGGCCACAUCAACUGAAUGUUAUACACCAAAACAUUCAGGGCCUUUCCGGCAAGGAUCUAGAAUUAAGUUUAUUCAUUGAGCAUUAUAUGGUACAAGUAAUGUGCAUAACUGAGCACUGGCACAGAAAUUCUGAAAUAAUAUUCCUUAAUAAUAGUAAUUACACAGUACAAAGUGCGUUUGUUAGAAAGGAAGCCAUCCAUGGUGGCUCUCUUAUAAUUGUGUCUAAUAAUAUAAAGUGUAAAGAACGUUCGGAUAUAGUUAAAUUAUCAGUGGAGCGCAACAUAGAACUGUCAUGUGUUGAACUGGAGCGGUUUGUUAUAAUUUGCGUGUACAGGCCUCCUUCAGGGGAUUUUAACAUCUUUGAAUCGGUAAUGGAAAAUUCCCUUUCUAAACUAAGUUCAAGUAGUAAAUCACUUUUAGUUUGCGGUGAUUUCAAUGUUAAUAUUUUAGAAUCUUCUCCCUUAACUAUAAGGUUGCUUAACUUAUUUAAAUCAUUCAACUUGUUUAAUUUAUUUCUAGAACCAACAAGAAUUACGGCAACCUCGUCAACCUGUUUAGAUAAUAUAUUUAGUAAUUGUACCGCCACGGAGACUCUGAUUACCAAUGGCCUUUCUUCCGAUCACUGUGGUCAACUGGCACGGUUUCCUGAUAGACAGCAUAAAAUCAAACGGGAAAUAACAUGUCGCCCCUUAACAACCAGUCGUUUUAAUACUUUCAAAAAUAAUAUAAUUGCAAAACUAGACUAUGAGAUACUAGAUAAUGACAAUCCCAAUUUAAUGUACGGAGCUCUGUUCGAUAUCAUUAAAUAUGAAUUUAAUUCUAGUUUUAAAACCAAAACUUUCGUAAUAAAAGAAACGGCUAAUUUCAAUGAGUGGGCAACCCCCGGCAUUUACAAGAGUAGAGCUAAGUUGUAUGAGCUGUAUGGAAUGAAAAAUUAUAAAUUUGAUGAUAAUUUUAUUACAUUUGUUAGAAAUUAUUCCAAAUUGUUUAAGAAAGUCUGUCAUGCGGCAAAAUCAAUGUAUUUUAGUAAUAAAAUUAAGAACAGUAAUAGUGUAAUUAAAGCUACGUGGAAUAUUAUUAAUAGUGAGACUGGAAAAAAUAAACAGCGUGAUACUCGAUACAAAAUCGUUAAUGAGAAUCAAGUUUAUGAGAAAGAUUCGGAUGUAGCUAGAGAAUUUAAUACCUUCUUUCUAAUAUUCCAAUAAAGACCACUAGCGACUUAGACUCCUCUACCACCAACGCAGAAAAACUUUUACGAAGUAGUGUUAGCCAAUGUGAAGCCACAUUUACUUUUAGUUAUAUUACACCUCAUGAUAUAGUUAGAACCUUCAAGUCAUUAAAUUCAAAAAAAACAGGUGACUUGUGGGGUAUCUCUGUAAAAGUUAUAGACUGUAUUAUUGACGAUAUUGCACCCUAUUUGGCUAGUAUAUUUAAUGAGUGUAUUGACUCAGGUACCUUUCCCGAACUUAUGAAAUACAGUAAGGUUAUACCACUCUUUAAAUCAGGGAGCAAGAAUGACCUAGGCAACUUUAGGCCGAUUUCAAUUUUACCCGCGUUAAGCAAAAUUUAUGAAAAAUUAUUUUAAAUCAGCUACUGCGCCAUUUCAAUUUACAUAAUAUUUUACAUGCCGAACAAUAUGGUUUCACUAAGGGUCGCUCAACAACGGAUGCCGGAGUUGCUCUACUGAAGCACAUUUAUACCGCGUGGGAGAAGUCGCAGAAUGCAAUUGGGGUGUUUUGUGAUCUUUCCAAGGCGUUUGACUGCGUCCAACAUGAAACGCUUACCCAGAAGCUUAAGUAUUAUGGUAUUAGAGAUAGCGCACUUAGUGUUAUUAGCUCAUAUUUAAGCGGCAGAAUGCAAUGUGUUGACGUUAAUGGUGUCAAAUCUUCCAAUCUACCCGUUCGUUUGGGCGUACCGCAAGGCUCGAUUCUAGGGCCUUUUUUAUUUCUUGUAUACAUUAAUGACUUGCCAUAUUAUUUAAAAUCAUUGUGUGAUGUAGUAUUGUUUGCUGAUGACACGUCUCUAAUUUUAAAGUUGAUAGGAAUAGAGUAGAUUUUGAUGACGUGAAUUCGUGUCUGUCAUUAGUAACGCACUGGUUCACAGCCAAUAAUUUGGUUUUGAAUGCGAAGAAAACCAAAUGUAUUAAAUUUGCUUUGCCAAACGUAAAAAAUCUCGGCCCCAGUGUAAUUUUAAACAAUGAGGAAAUUGAAACGGUCCAAGCUACCACUUUUCUAGGAAUAACUGUAGACUCCAAAAUUCAAUGGGGUGAGCAUAUAACUGGCCUCACGAAUAGACUAAGCUCUGCUGCGUACGCUGUCAGAAAGGUAAGAGCUCUCACCGAUGUAGCCACGGCGCGUUUAGUGUACUUCAGUUAUUUCCACAGUGUUAUGUGCUACGGAAUUCUUAUGUGGGGCAAUGCUGCCGACAUAGAAAAUGUCUUCGUGUUACAGAAGCGCGCUGUCCGUGCUAUAUACCGACUAGGUACUAGAGUCUCCUUAAGGGAAAGGUUUAAGGAUAUUGGUGUUCUCACUGUGGCGUCUCAAUAUAUUUAUGCCAAUAUAAUAUAUGUAAGGCAAAACAUAGAGUUAUUUAGUAAAAAGAGUGACGUGCACAAUUUCAACACCAGAAAUAAACAUAAAUUAACCGCAUCCAACUAUCGAUUGCAUAAAGUGCACGGUUCGUUUGUGGGCCUUUGUAUACGCAUUUAUAAUAGAAUCCCAGUUCAUUUGCUAGAACUAACGGACAGUUCUUUUAAAAUCAAAAUUAAGGAUAUUCUGAUUAAAAAGGCUUAUUAUAACAUUAAUGAUUAUUUCACAGAUACGCGCAGAUGGCAGCUCUGAAGUGGACAACAAGUGUUUUUUAUAUAUAUUUUUUUGUGACUAUAAUUUGAAAAGAUGUUGAAUUAUAUAAUUGUAAUUUAAUUAUAUUUAAUUGUAAUAGACAGCUGUGUUGCUGGGAAGUUUGUUCUUCACCACUUCUUCUUCCCAGCCACAACACUAGGAAGUGGUGAAAGGGGGGCGUUUUGGGGGUGCUGUCCUUAUGUAUUACUUGACGUGAAAAAGUGCUAGAAACUAGCCUAUUUUCAAUAAACGUUUUUGACUUUGA